rnacentral:tRNA from 1 species
GCUGUGAUGGCCGAGUGGUUAAGGCGUUGGACUCGAAAUCCAAUGGGGUUUCCCGGCGCAGGUUCAAAUCCUGCUCACAGCG